rnacentral:lncRNA from 1 species
AUUCAAAGGUCUCCAGUUCCAGCCUCCCUGCUACUAGAUCAGGUUGCCCAAACCCCAUCUAGCCUGACCUUGGGCACUGCCUGGGUUGGGGCACCCACAGCUCCUCUGGGCAGUCUGGGCCAGGGCCUCACAGCCCUCGCUGUGAAACAUUCCUUCCUUAAGUCUCAAGGAAGAGAUAACUUUCUAAGUCCUACAGACCCCAUCAGGCAGGCAACAAGAAGAGGGUUAAUGCUCCUCUUCUCUUGGCAGAGAGCACCUCACAGCUGCCUGCCCUCAUUUCAGAGAUUGCCAGGGAACCCAGCCACAGGGGAAGGAGGAGGAAGGGGAGGCUGUGCCUUGGCCCAGCUGGAGUGAGUUGCUGUGCCCCAAGGGAGCUAUAAAGCUCCUCUGGUGAGGCUGGCACUUCUCCUGGUUUAGCUCUGCAGCCAGAGCUUUUCUCUGAGAAAGAUGAUGAACCUUUACGGGAAAAGAAGGCUUCAGUGUCAAGAGUGAAUGAUUUUGUUUUAUGAGUGGUUUUUGUUCAUCUUUGUUCUGCCCUUGGCUAAAGGGCUGGCCUGCUGGUAAUCUGCAAUCCCAUGGCAUCUGCUUUCAAGGGCGGUCAGUAAAUCUUUUUAAUUCUUUUCCCUGCUUUAUAAUAAUGGCUAGUUUUUGUUGGUACCAAGUGCUCGUUACACCAACCAGGUGUGUGCAAAAGCAGCAGUUGUGUUACAUGUGGAUGUGUCCCAUCUGUGUGCUCCGGAACUGCAUCUCUGAUUGCUCGCUCUUACUUCAGAGCCUCAGACCGAAAAUCCUAUAUUAACCUGUUUUGUACAGAUUUUAAUUUUUAGUGGAUCAGGGAAAUCCAGUUUCAAACAGUUCAAACAACAUUUGAAUAUUUUUCAAUAUAGUCUUUUCUCUUUUGUUCAACAAAAGAUACUUGGCAUGAAUUCAUAGUCAUAGGACUCCUGGAAGCAUAUUUUGGGGCAAACAAUAUUCAGAUGAAGGAGUAGCUUGUUUCUAACAGAAGUAAACUGCUAUGUUACACUUGUUAGGAUGCAUUUGUAUGCUGUUUGCUUCUGGGGAUCUGAAAUUUCAUGGGAAUGCAGUGAGAAUGAUUAAAAAUUAAACUUUGUAACUGCUUUAUAUGUUUGGCAUUAAUAUCAUCUUUCAUUGUUUUCUAAUAGUGAUAAUUAGGUGUUGCAUUACUCUAGGGUAAGCCUUGUAGCACCCCUGGGAAGGCUUUUAUGCACAAUAUAAAUACUACUGUGCACAUAAAACUAAAUUUUGUUGAGAAACAUCCUCCGUUGGCUUUGCUUUCUUAAUGUUUGCUUUCACCCUUUUCCUCCAGACCCAGAAGAUUCUUUUAGAAUUUCCCUUUAUCAGCUUCUUUUUAUUCCUUCUCCACCUGAGCUGCCAUUUAUCUCAGACCUUUCAUUCUGCACCAGUGUCAUCCUCACCACAUGGGUGGACUUAACCAAGCAGUUAAUGCUAUUACAGUGCUGGAUCCUCCUGUACUGGGCUGUUAGUGCACAUCAGCAUCAGCAGGGACGGGAGUCUGACAAGCACGUGGGAACUGUCACAUAGGGACCAAUGUCUGUUGGUCUGUAACUGAUAUGCUCUCAGUGUCCUGUUAGAAUAAAUGACUGUAGAGGCAAUCUCUCCCCA